ensembl:miRNA
UGGGCCAAGGGUCACCCCCUGACUCUGUGGCCACGGGUAGACAGGUCAGAGGUCGAUCCUGGGCCUA